rnacentral:rRNA from 1 species
AACGAACGCUGGCGGCAUGCCUAACACAUGCAAGUCGAACGAAGCCUUCGGGCUUAGUGGCGCACGGGUGCGUAACACGUGGGAAUCUGCCCUUUGGUUCGGAAUAACAGUUAGAAAUGACUGCUAAUACCGGAUAAUGACGUAAGUCCAAAGAUUUAUCGCCGAAGGAUGAGCCCGCGUAGGAUUAGGUAGUUGGUGGGGUAAUGGCCCACCAAGCCGACGAUCCUUAGCUGGUCUGAGAGGAUGAUCAGCCACACUGGGACUGAGACACGGCCCAGACUCCUACGGGAGGCAGCAGUGGGGAAUAUUGGACAAUGGGCGAAAGCCUGAUCCAGCAAUGCCGCGUGAGUGAUGAAGGCCUUAGGGUUGUAAAGCUCUUUUACCAGGGAUGAUAAUGACAGUACCUGGAGAAUAAGCUCCGGCUAACUCCGUGCCAGCAGCCGCGGUAAUGUCG